ACGGAAGGCAGCAGUGGGGAAUAUUGCACAAUGGGGGAAACCCUGAUGCAGCAACGCCGCGUGAGUGAAGAAGUAUUUCGGUAUGUAAAGCUCUAUCAGCAGGGAAGAUAAUGACGGUACCUGACUAAGAAGCUCCGGCUAAAUACGUGCCAGCAGCCGCGGUAAUACGUAUGGAGCAAGCGUUAUCCGGAUUUACUGGGUGUAAAGGGUGCGUAGGUGGCAUGGUAAGUCAGAUGUGAAAUACCGGGGCUCAACCCCGGAGCUGCAUUUGAAACUGCCAGGCUAGAGUACAGGAGAGGCAAGCGGAAUCCCUAGUGUAGCGGUGAAAUGCGUAGAUAUUAGGAGGAACACCAGUGGCGAAGGCGGAUUGCUGGACGAUAACUGACGGUGAGGCGCGAAAGUGUGGGGAGCAAACAGGAUUAGAUACCCUGUA
rnacentral:rRNA from 1 species